rnacentral:rRNA from 1 species
UUGAUCCUGGCUCAGGAUGAACGCUGGCGGCGUGCCUAACACAUGCAAGUCGAGCGAUUUACUUCUGUAAAGAGCGGCGGACGGGUGAGUAACGCGUGGGUAACCUGCCCUGUACACACGGAUAACAUACCGAAAGGUAUGCUAAUACCAGAUAAUAUACUUUUAUCGCAUGGUAGAAGUAUCAAAGCUUUUGCGGUACAGGAUGGACCCGCGUCUGAUUAGCUAGUUGGUAAGGUAACGGCUUACCAAGGCGACGAUCAGUAGCCGACCUGAGAGGGUGAUCGGCCACAUUGGAACUGAGACACGGUCCAAACUCCUACGGGAGGCAGCAGUGGGGAAUAUUGCACAAUGGGCGAAAGCCUGAUGCAGCAACGCCGCGUGAAGGAAGAAGGUUUUCGGAUUGUAAACUUCUUUUGUCAGGGACGAAUAGAUGACGGUACCUGACGAAUAAGCUCCGGCUAACUACGUGCCAGCAGCCGCGGUAAUACGUAGGGAGCGAGCGUUGUCCGGAAUUACUGGGUGUAAAGGGUGCGUAGGCGGCAGAGCAAGUCAGAUGUGAAAUACACGGGCUUAACCCGUGGGCUGCAUUUGAAACUGUUCAGCUUGAGUGAAGCAGAGGCAGGCGGAAUUCCCGGUGUAGCGGUGAAAUGCGUAGAGAUCGGGAGGAACACCAGUGGCGAAGGCGGCCUGCUGGGCUUUAACUGACGCUGAGGCACGAAAGCGUGGGUAGCAAACAGGAUUAGAUACCCUGGUAGUCCACGCCGUAAACGAUGAGUACUAGCUGUCGGAGGUUACCCCAUUCGGUGGCGCAGGUAACGACAUUAAGUACUCCGCUUGGGAAGUACGCUCGCAAGAAUGAAACUCAAAGGAAUUGGCGGGGACCCGCACAAGUAGCGGAGCAUGUGGUUUAAUUCGAAGCAACUCGAAGAACCUUACCUAAGCUUGACAUCCUUUUGACCGAUGCCUAAUCGCAUCUUUCCCUUCGGGGACAGAAGUGACAGGUGGUGCAUGGUUGUCGUCAGCUCGUGUCGUGAGAUGUUGGGUUAAGUCCCGCAACGAGCGCAACCCUUGCCUUUAGUUGCCAGCAUUAAGUUGGGCACUCUAGAGGGACUGCCAGGGAUAACCUGGAGGAAGGUGGGGAUGACGUCAAAUCAUCAUGCCCCUUAUGACCUGGGCUACACACGUACUACAAUGGCCGCAAACAAAGGGAAGCAAGACUGCGAAGUGGAGCGAAACCCGAAAAGCGGUCCCAGUUCGGAUUGCAGGCUGCAACCCGCCUGCAUGAAGUCGGAAUUGCUAGUAAUCGCGGAUCAGCAUGCCGCGGUGAAUACGUUCCCGGGCCUUGCACACACCGCCCGUCA